rnacentral:rRNA from 1 species
UACGGAGGGUGCAAGCGUUGUUCGGAAUUAUUGGGCGUAAAGGGCGCGUAGGUGGUCUUGUAUGUCUACCGUGAAAGCACACGGCUUAACCGUGUAGAGUCGGUGGAAACUGCAGGACUUGAGGUUGGGAGGGGCUGGUGGAAUUCCCUGUGUAGCGGUGAAAUGCGUAGAGAUGGGGGAGAACACUUGUGGCGAAGGCGACUCACUGGACAUGUAUUGACGCUGAGGUACGAAAGCGUGGGGAGCAAACAGG